AUUGAACGCUGGCGGCAGGCCUAACACAUGCAAGUCGAGCGGCAGCGGGAAAGUAGCUUGCUACUUUUGCCGGCGAGCGGCGGACGGGUGAGUAAUGCCUGGGAAAUUGCCCAGUCGAGGGGGAUAACAGUUGGAAACGACUGCUAAUACCGCAUACGCCCUACGGGGGAAAGCAGGGGACCUUCGGGCCUUGCGCGAGUGGAUAUGCCCAGGUGGGAUUAGCUAGUUGGUGAGGUAAUGGCUCACCAAGGCGACGAUCCCUAGCUGGUCUGAGAGGAUGAUCAGCCACACUGGAACUGAGACACGGUCCAGACUCCUACGGGAGGCAGCAGUGGGGAAUAUUGCACAAUGGGGGAAACCCUGAUGCAGCCAUGCCGCGUGUGUGAAGAAGGCCUUCGGGCUGUAAAGCACUUUCAGCGAGGAGGAAAGGUCAGUAGCUAAUAUCUGCUGGCUGUGACGUUACUCGCAGAAGAAGCACCGGCUAACUCCGUGCCAGCCGCCGCGGUAAGAC
rnacentral:rRNA from 1 species